UACGUAGGGUGCGAGCGUUGUCCGGAAUUACUGGGCGUAAAGAGCUCGUAGGUGGUUUGUCGCGUCGUCCGUGAAAACUCACAACUCAAUUGUGGGCGUGCGGGCGAUACGGGCAGACUGGAGUACUGCAGGGGAGACUGGAAUUCCUGGUGUAGCGGUGGAAUGCGCAGAUAUCAGGAUGAACACCGGUGGCGAAGGCGGGUCUCUGGGCAGUAACUGACGCUGAGGAGCGAAAGCGUGGGGAGCGAACAGG
rnacentral:rRNA from 1 species